UUUGCUCCCUCCUUUCCUUUUGCCCCUUCUCUCCUCACUCCCUCUCCCUCCCUCCAAGCCCCCUACACAGCACAGGCUAGUAGGCUGCGGCCUCCCACCUCCUCAGUUGCUUCCCUUGUCCGGGAGACACACGGGCCUCCCCCCUGCCCGCCUCGCAUGCUCCCUUUGUUCCUCGCUUCCCCACCGCCCCCAGCAGCUGCCGUGCUCACCCGAGCCGGUGAAAGGCCGUCGAGGACCAACGACAUGGCCGCCGAUGGGGCCCGCGGAGCUCCCCUGAGGCCGCGGCCAGGGCCGCCUCGAGACCACGGGGUCGACGCGGAGGAGGCCCCGAAAGUCCAUGACGGUCUGUUGAGAGCAGCCUGGUGAUCGCCAAUGGUGACGCCUUCUCGCCGAGCCGGGUGGAAGAAGUUGGGAAUGAAGCGUAUUGGUCCGGGAGCGUAUACAUAGUAAUUUUUUUUUGCGAGUAACAUCGAUAAUAUACCCGAUAAUUCUUUUCCAGUUUUUUUCAGGCAGCGGUUAUUUUUAUUAGUAGUUAGUUGUAAGCUUAGGCAAAAUUCUUUCUGUGGCGAACCGUCAGUUCUGCUGGAACUCCAAAGUGUCUGCAGGAUGGGCACCAUUCAGAAUCAGAACGCGUUUGUUCUUUUGAUCUUCUA